UCAAGAUUUUGACCAACAUGUAUGACGUGCAUAAAUAUGCAUAAUUUCAUUAUAUUUUGUAAUGAUUUCCUUGUGGUUGUAAAGAGGCCCAACAAAGGUAUCAAUCUAACAUGUUUUUUCUGGUCCCUACAUCUCAGGUCUAUAUUAUUGACAUUAAAUCAACGUUGAUUUGAUGUCAGGAAAUAAGACGUCAAAUUGAUGUGAAAUUUAUGUCAAAACAACGUCUGUUAAAAUGUCUGAAAAGGUAUAUUAUUAGCCUACUCAUUGUAAAUCGACGCGAGUUUUUCAACAUCCUGACCCACACAGCAGAGGGUUCCAAAACGGACCCUCUGCGGCGGACUCCGUGCUGAUACGCACAUCGAACGCGCCCUUUCCAGUCCUAACGGCUCCUUCAGUUUUCAAAUUUCUCGUUGAUGAAGUGGAAGACGAAACAGCGGCGUCUGAAGGCUCACUGUCAUUCACAAGUGGCUCCAGUCUGGUUUGGGGGUUCUGCCAUCCAAGUAAAGUUAUUCACAAGUGGCUCCAGUCUGGUUUGGGGGUCUACGCUUUCUCAUCCUGUCCUGCC